rnacentral:rRNA from 1 species
UACGAAGGGUGCAAACGUUGCUCGGAAUCAUUGGGCGUAAAGCGUACGUAGGCGGCCCAGCAAGUUGGAUGUGAAAUCCCUCGGCUCAACCGAGGACGUGCAUCCAAAACUGCUGGGCUUGAGUACUGAAGAGGAUCGCGGAAUUCCCGGUGUAGAGGUGAAAUUCGUAGAUAUCGGGAGGAACACCAGUGGCGAAGGCGGCGAUCUGGGCAGAUACUGACGCUGAGGUGCGAAAGCGUGGGGAGCAAACAGG